rnacentral:lncRNA from 1 species
AGUUGAAUAACUUGUUGGAAUAGAGGCAGCAGCACCUAAAAAUUCAUAAAGUGGGAAACUCAGUACAUUUUUAAGCGCUGUAUUACAAGGUUACAAGGUCAACAUAUCCAGAUUAGCUGAGAGUUCAAAGAGUCCACCAGUCUGAGAGAUGUCUAAGGCAGGCUCAGUCCAGCUUUCAGCCUCACUAGUAGCAGUCACCCAUUGUUUGCCAUGCCAGAAGCCAAGGCAAAAACCCAGGCUUUAGAUCUGGAAAACAAAAUAGUCUUAGAACCACUGCUGUGAUCAACUGCUCUCAUGUAUCCUACAUAUCAUGCUUUACAGAACUGUAAGACAGCACAGCCUGGCUCAAGAAAUAGUGACUAAAAAGAUGCCGUAAAGAGAAUCAACUCAAUAAGCUUUGAAUGGCUUAUAUUGGCCAAAGUCAUCACAGAACAAAAAUGUAGGCAUCUCAAACUACAGUGUGGGAAGGCUAAACUGCUGAGGGACACUGAUUUCUGAACCUACU